UACGUAGGUGGCAAGCGUUAUCCGGAUUUAUUGGGCGUAAAGGGUCCGCGGGCGGUCUGUUUAGUCUGAGGUGAAAGCGUUGAGCUCAACUCAAUUAAGCCUUAGAUACUGGCAGGCUAGAGUGCAGAAGAGGGUUAUGGAAUUCCAUGUGUAGCGGUAAAAUGCGUAGAUGUAUGGAGGAACACCGGCGGCGAAGGCGGUAACCUGGUCUGUUACUGACGCUCAGGGACGAAAGCGUGGGGAGCAAAUA
rnacentral:rRNA from 1 species